UCUUGAGCAUUUUAUUUUCCGGUGGAGUGGCGCUGCAUUGGAAACGUUUCACCGCGGUGAUGAAAGUGUAGAACGCUGCGAGAGCUGAUUUCGACGGGCUUUUCAGAAGACGCGGUGGCGUAGUUUUGUUGAAAUUCAGUGUCGCCUUCUGGGAUAUGAUUCAAAUCCGCCUGACGAGCACGAGCUCAAAUCUUCCAACAAAAAAUCUUUCAGCAGCAGAGGUGUUGGCAAUGCCUUGGCCGAUUUAAUCGCUCCAGAAUCCAUGGAAUCUACUCUCAGAAGAAAAAAGGGAUGUAUCCCAAAUGAGUGAGUCAAGAUUUGGUGGCAAUGCCUCGUUCAAUGGAGGGACAAUGGUAAUUGAGUAAAGAGUGUAGGGGACUGCUGGCGAGUUGCAUCCUGCAAUCCAAACUGAGGACGAGGACGGGUUUUGGAGAGAUAAUCUAAUAGUAUGAGAAUAAACUUCUGACCGUAACAGUUCAAAUUCAGAGGCUUCCAGAUUUCAUAGAUUGUCUUCAAAUUAAUCUUUAGAGCUCAACCUUUAACUCAUUUAUAUUUGAAAAGAAACUGAAGAGAUGUACAGCUAUAAAGAUUCUUCAAU